UUAAGAAGAGAAAUACAAUAUCAGUUCACCGACUUAGGGGGUUGAGCAUAUUGGGAGACGAACUCUGAGUUAUUCUGGUGGAAACCGUUGGCAAGUGAUCAUAUCAGUUUAAAGUUUACCUGAUUUUUCUAUGGUGUUAACCAAAAUUACUUGCGUGUAGUGCAAUCUAAAACGGUGAAAUUUUGAGUUAUUUCGGUUUGUGGUUUAAAUUUUUCAAAUAAGAGUGUCAAGCAAAAAUCGGUUGGAUAAAAAGGUGCCAAACCCAUUCAACGUGGGUGUUUGUGCUGGAGGCACACUAUCCGUACCGUCACGGCACUCGGUCGUCGCUAGGUGGCAAGCAGCCUGACCACCACCUUCGGGUCCGGGGCGCAAAUAUACCCGUCG